UCUAAUAUGGCAGAUUAGUGCAUUGGAUUUAAACCCCAAACAUAUAGCUUAGCCUUUUUUUAGAA
rnacentral:tRNA from 1 species